UCGGGGUAACAAACUAAAACUGAGGGAAACGCAUUAAAUAUAAGAGGAGAACAACGACACAACACUACAAUGUAACACACACAGAAACGGACCAAGCAUCAGACAAAAAUCCCACGAGAAAAACAAAUAUAACAUCAAAACCAAAUACAUGAAUUUGGGAUAGACAAGUACCGUGACACGUCUUAUCGCAAUGUGAAUUUACACUCAAAAUUAAGAGAAAAC
rnacentral:lncRNA from 1 species